GACGAACGCUGGCGGCGUGCCUAAUACAUGCAAGUCGAACGAACCGCGACUAGGUGCUUGCACUUGGUCAAGGUGAGUGGCGAACGGGUGAGUAACACGUGGGUAACCUACCUCAUAGUGGGGGAUAACAGUCGGAAACGACUGCUAAUACCGCAUAGGACAUGGGAUCACAUGAUUCUGUGAGGAAAGGUGGCGCAAGCUAUCGCUAAGAGAUGGACCCGCGGUGCAUUAGCUAGUUGGUAGGGUAACGGCCUACCAAGGCGAUGAUGCAUAGCCGACCUGAGAGGGUGAUCGGCCACAUUGGGACUGAGACACGGCCCAAACUCCUACGGGAGGCAGCAGUAGGGAAUCUUCCGCAAUGGACGCAAGUCUGACGGAGCAACGCCGCGUGAGUGAAGAAGGUCUUCGGAUCGUAAAGCUCUGUUGUUAGAGAAGAACAGCGCAUAGAGUAACUGCUAUGCGU
rnacentral:rRNA from 1 species